rnacentral:lncRNA from 1 species
AUAACCUCACGAUCAUAGAAGUUACCAUAAAUAGGUUCCUCCACAACAACUGAAAAAUUGGCCAUAUCCUCCAUGGUUAGUAUACCUCCUUGCUGUUGAACAAACUUUACAAGCCUUUCUGCAAUUUUUCCUGUGUAAAACACUUCAGGACCAAACUUAGCUAUUUCUUCGAGGGUAGACGCUAGAGCAGGCCGAUAAAACUUUUCUCCAACGUGUAAAAAAACACCUUCUGGAGCAAAUAUUUUAGACCAAUCUGGAUGAGUCUUGAAAUAGGAAAACUCGGGUCGUCUGAUGCGAGACGCAAGUUCCUUGGGCAUUGGCAUUCCAUCUCUCAUAAGACGUAUGGUUGGUUCAAACAACUUAUGCCAAGGUAGAGAGCCAUACAUUUUCCAAGCACGCUCGUAGCCAGCAAUUUCACCAGGGACGGCAACGGAAAGACCACCUACCUGUGACAGGGUAGAGUUACCAUGAAACAUAUUUUUGCUGGCACCCGCUGGAGCAGUCUCGCGAAAGUUCAAGGAAUGUGCUGUACCAUUUGGAUGGCGUAUUAACAUAAAUCCACCACCGCCAAUACCACUUGAAAAUGAAUUGACAGCUCCAAUGCAAAUUCCCGAUGCGAUAGCCGCAUCCACUGCAUUUCCACCGGCCUUCAAGAUGCCAACACCAAUUUGGGAGCAUGUCUCUUCCUCCGUAGCCACAACUCCAUUUUUUCCUUCAACUACUACUCUCUGCGAGCCUUUGUUUUUAUAUUUGAAGGAGCACCGUUGAUUUGCAAAAAAAAGGUCGGGAGAUAAAAUUGGCCAGAUGUAUAAAGAAAGUAUUGUGCCUGCCAAAACAAGAAAUGUGACAAGAAUAGAGGGACGAGAAGCCCGUUCUUCUAGAGCUGAAGUGGCUGAUUUCUUAUUAGAUGAUAAAUGCCGAUUUCCAGACUUCACAUUUACAGAACUUCGAGCGAUGGAAGCAGCCCCUGAACUCUGAGCAGAAGACGUAUUGAUACCCAUCACAAUUUAAAAAGUGCUGAAAAUAUCCAAAAAAAAAAAAACAAGGUAUGAAAUGGAAUGAAAUUAAAUUUAAAAAAAAUACCUUUACCAAGAUUAAGGAAUCUUGCACAAAACCUUUGAGAAGAGGGUAUGGAUGAAGAAAAUGAAAAGAACUUCUAAUUUAACAAAUUUAAUUUUUGGGGAAAAAUGACCCAAAAUGGACUAAAGAAAGCCAACCGCAACUUCUACACCUUUUUUUUACGAUAUUAGCAUGAAGAAAUCAACAAGGCUAAUCAAUAAUUGAAUAGCGUUAGCUUUAAAUAAAUUCAACGGAAGAAAUCCUUGCUUCUCAAGAGAACGGCUCGAGUUUGCUGUGUGCGUGCAAGUUGAGAGAAAUAAGCGGGAGGCAAAUUGGUGGAGCAAACCACAUAUCUAAUUUAUACAACCGAAAACAUGGUUUUGACUGUGAAGCCGGCAAAACUAACAAAUGCAUUUUACUGACUAAAAUAUCUUUCAUAUCUUUUGUUUUUAAAAACCGCAUAUUGGCAAAAAAUUUCUAAAUCGAUAGGUAGAUCCUUCGAAAAUCCCAAUUGAUCGACUAGUAAGCGAGGCCGAAUAAUAUGGCGAUGAAUGCACAAUUCAUUCAAUGUUUAUGAAUGAGCACUUUGAAAAUGGAUAUUCCAUGAAAGAUAGAUAAUAGAAAAUCGGUAUUAAAUGUAUUUGAUUUUGUAGUCUUUCAUCUAUCUGUCUAAUAAUGGUUUGCAACAUCGAUGUUUAUGAUAUUACAAAUUGUUUUUAGGAACUUUUUUCUUAUAGUUGAUAUAAAACUAAUAUAAUAGGGUCGAAAGCGAUUCAUUUUAACUCAUCGAUUAAUUCAAAUUUUGAUGUGUUAGUCUAAUCCUGGAUUUAUUUACAUGGGCAAAGAUUUUUAUCAAGGACAAAUAGUAUUUCAAUGCCCAAUUCAUUUGGUUCCAGAUUUUUUGAAAAACUUUUUUUUAAAUGUUUUUAUUUUCUUUCACAUAUACUCUGUUACCGAUUCGAUUUAAAAUAUUAUUGAGCAAAAGCAGUAUGCAAGGGUAUUGGAAUAAUAUUGACAAAAGCAAGGUAUGAAACUUUAAAAAAAACAAAUUAGAUUUUAUUUUAUUUUUUUAAGUAUAAGAGUUUACGUCUCGUUCUUUUACAGCAGCACCCCAUUUUCGAAUCGUAUGUGUAAC